AACGAACGCUGGCGGCAUGCCUAACACAUGCAAGUCGAACGAGACCUUCGGGUCUAGUGGCGCACGGGUGCGUAACGCGUGGGAACCUGCCCUUAGGUUCGGAAUAACUCCCCGAAAGGGGUGCUAAUACCGGAUAAUGUCUUCGGACCAAAGAUUUAUCGCCUUUGGAUGGGCCCGCGUUGGAUUAGCUAGUUGGUAGGGUAAAAGCCUACCAAGGCGACGAUCCAUAGCUUGUCUGAGAGGAUGAUCAGCCACACUGGGACUGAGACACGGCCCAGACUCCUACGGGAGGCAGCAGUGGGGAAUAUUGGAAAAUGGGCGAAAGCAUGAUCCAGCAAUGCCGCGUGAGUGAUGAAGGCCUUAGGGUUGUAAAGCUCUUUUACCCGGGAUGAUAAUGACAGUACCGGGAGAAUAAGCUCCGGCUAACUCCGUG
rnacentral:rRNA from 1 species